rnacentral:rRNA from 1 species
AUUGAACGCUGGCGGAAUGCUUUACACAUGCAAGUCGAGCGGCAGCACGGGGGCAACCCUGGUGGCGAGCGGCGAACGGGUGAGUAAUACAUCGGAACAUGCCCAGUCGUGGGGGAUAACACUUCGAAAGAAGUGCUAAUACCGCAUACGUCCUGAGGGAGAAAGCGGGGGAUCUUCGGACCUCGCGCGAUUGGAGUGGCCGAUGUCAGAUUGGCUAGUUGGUGGGGUAAAGGCCUACCAAGGCAACGAUCUGUAGCUGGUCUGAGAGGAUGGUCAGCGACACUGGGACUGCGAAACGGCCGAGAAUCCGACGGGAGGCAGCAGUGGGGAAUAUUGGACAAUGGGGGAAACCCUAAUCCAGCCAUGCCGCGUGUGUGAAGAAGGCCUUAUGGUUGUAAAGCACUUUAAGCGAGGAGGAGGCUACUGAGACUAAUACUCUUGGAUAGUGGACGUUACUCGCAGAAUAAGCACCGGCUAACUCUGUGCCAGCCGCCGCGGUAACAC